rnacentral:rRNA from 1 species
ACGAACGCUGGCGGCAUGCCUAACACAUGCAAGUCGAACGAAGCCUUCGGGCUUAGUGGCGCACGGGUGCGUAACGCGUGGGAAUCUGCCCCUUGCUUCGGAAUAACAGUUAGAAAUGACUGCUAAUACCGGAUGAAGUCUUCGGACCAAAGAUUUAUCGGCAAGGGAUGAGCCCGCGUAGGAUUAGGUAGUUGGUGGGGUAAAGGCCUACCAAGCCGACGAUCCUUAGCUGGUCUGAGAGGAUGAUCAGCCACACUGGGACUGAGACACGGCCCAGACUCCUACGGGAGGCAGCAGUGGGGAAUAUUGGACAAUGGACGCGAGUCUGAUCCAGCAAUGCCGCGUGAGUGAUGAAGGCCUUAGGGUUGUAAAGCUCUUUUACCAGGGAUGAUAAUGACAGUACCUGGAGAAUAAGCUCCGGCUAACUCCGUG